GUGAAUUUUACCAUAUAAAUAAGGUAAACCAGACUGUUGAUUAUUACUAUUCACACAGUAGUCAAACUUGUACAUCAGAAUCAUGAAGAUCACAGCCCUCGCCCUCGUCGCCUUGUUCGGUGUCCUCGGAGUCACCCUCGGAAUGGGAUACGGCGGUUACCAGUACGUGCCAGUACAUCCAGGAGCCGGCGGUGCCGGGUAUAAUGACAAUACUUUCUUGAUGCUGAUUGGCUUUUUGUUCCUGUUCUUGAUCCUCUUCAACAGCAACUUGUUCAACACAACAACAUCUACCAGCACAUCUACAACACCAGCCGGUGUCACCUUAUUAACUGGUUAAACGAAUUCAGCAAAUGAAAGAAGUCGAUUCAUAUUCUCAUCUGGUCACAUCAGGCAAUGGUCAAAAUGCAAGUUGACGUUCAUCCGGUAUGGUACCUUGCAUAGGUGCAAUUGUAUUGGUAUCAACUCAUUCCAAGGCAAUAUUUAUUUGUACUAGUAACUGUUAAUUUAUUUACAAUAAACAAAAUAUUCAAUUUA